GGGUGCGGCGGCUUACCAUGCAAGUCGAGCGGGGGAAGGUAGCUUGCUACUGGACCUAGCGGCGGACGGGUGAGUAAUGCUUAGGAAUCUGCCUAUUAGUGGGGGACAACAUCUCGAAAGGGAUGCUAAUACCGCAUACGUCCUACGGGAGAAAGCAGGGGAUCUUCGGACCUUGCGCUAAUAGAUGAGCCUAAGUCGGAUUAGCUAGUUGGUGGGGUAAAGGCCUACCAAGGCGACGAUCUGUAGCGGGUCUGAGAGGAUGAUCCGCCACACUGGGACUGAGACACGGCCCAGACUCCUACGGGAGGCAGCAGUGGGGAAUAUUGGACAAUGGGGGGAACCCUGAUCCAGCCAUGCCGCGUGUGUGAAGAAGGCCUUAUGGUUGUAAAGCACUUUAAGCGAGGAGGAGGCUACUCUAGUUAAUACCUAGAGAUAGUGGACGUUACUCGCAGAAUAAGCACCGGCUAACUCUGUGCCAGCAGCCGCGGUAAUACAGAGGGUGCGAGCGUUAAUCGGAUUUACUGGGCGUAAAGCGUGCGUAGGCGGCUUAUUAAGUCGGAUGUGAAAUCCCCGAGCUUAACUUGGGAAUUGCAUUCGAUACUGGUGAGCUAGAGUAUGGGAGAGGAUGGUAGAAUUCCAGGUGUAGCGGUGAAAUGCGUAGAGAUCUGGAGGAAUACCGAUGGCGAAGGCAGCCAUCUGGCCUAAUACUGACGCUGAGGUACGAAAGCAUGGGGAGCAAACAGGAUUAGAUACCCUGGUAGUCCAUGCCGUAAACGAUGUCUACUAGCCGUUGGGGCCUUUGAGGCUUUAGUGGCGCAGCUAACGCGAUAAGUAGACCGCCUGGGGAGUACGGUCGCAAGACUAAAACUCAAAUGAAUUGACGGGGGCCCGCACAAGCGGUGGAACCUGGGGUUAAUUCGAUGCACGCGAAGACCUUACCUGGCCUUGACUACUAGAACUUUCCAAGAUGGA
rnacentral:rRNA from 1 species